rnacentral:rRNA from 1 species
UACGUAGGCAGCGAGCGUUGUCCGGAAUUAUUGGGCGUAAAGAGCUCGUAGGCGGUCUGUCGCGUCGGCUGUGAAAACCCGGAGCUCAACUCCGGGCCUGCAGUCGAUACGGGCAAACUGGAGUGUUGCAGGGGAGACUGGAAUUCCUGGUGUAGCGGUGAAAUGCGUAGAUAUCAGGAGGAACACCGGUGGUGUAGACGGCUCUCUGGACCAUAACUGACGCUGAGACACGAAAGCGUGGGUAGCAAACAGG